CCUACGGGGGACAGCAGUGAGGAAUAAUGGUCAAUGGACGCAAGUCUGAACCAGCCAUGCCGCGUGCAGGAAGACGGCUCUAUGAGUUGUAAACUGCUUUUGUACGAGGGUAAACGCAGAUACGCGUAUCUGUCUGAAAGUAUCGUACGAAUAAGGAUCGGCUAACUCCGUGCUAGCAGCCGCGGUAAUACGGAGGAUUCAAGCGUUAUCCGGAUUUAUUGGGUUUAAAGGGUGCGUAGGCGGUCGGAUAAGUUAGAGGUGAAAUCCCGAGGCUCAACUUCGGAAUUGCCUCUGAUACUGUUCGGCUAGAGAGUAGGUGCGGUAGGCGGAAUGUAUGGUGUAGCGGUGAAAUGCUUAGAGAUCGUACAGAACACCGGUGGCGAAGGCAGCUUACCAAGCUACAUCUGACGUUGAGGCACGAAGGCGUGGGGAGCGAACAGGAUUAGAUACCCCAGUAGUC
rnacentral:rRNA from 1 species